rnacentral:rRNA from 1 species
AGAGUUUGAUCCUGGCUCAGAAUCAACGCUGGCGGCGUGCCUCAGACAUGCAAGUCGAACGCGAAAGUUCCUUCGGGGAGCGAGUAGAGUGGCGCACGGGUGAGUAACACGUAGGUAAUCUACCUUUGGAUGGGGAAUAACAACCGGAAACGGUUGCUAAUACCGCAUAAUGCAGCGGCACCUAAUGGUGACAGUUGUUAAAGCGGGGGAUCGAAAGACCUCGCGUCUGAAGAGGAGCCUGCGGCGGAUUAGCUAGUUGGUAAGGUAAUGGCUUACCAAGGCGAUGAUCCGUAACCGGCCUGAGAGGGCGGUCGGUCACACUGACACUGACAUACGGGUCAGACUCCUACGGGAGGCAGCAGUCGGGAAUUUUGGGCAAUGGGCGAAAGCCUGACCCAGCAACGCCGCGUGAAGGAUGAAAUCCCUCGGGAUGUAAACUUCGCAAGAACAGGAAGAAUAAGUAAGAGUUAAUAUCUCUUACGAUGACGGUACUGUUUGUAAGCUCCGGCUAACUCCGUGCCAGCAGCCGCGGUAAUACGGGGGGAGCAAGCGUUGUUCGGAUUUACUGGGCGUAAAGGGCGCGUAGGCGGCCACCGCAAGUCGGUUGUGAAAUCUCUGGGCUUAACCCAGAAAGGUCAACCGAUACUGCGGGGCUAGAGUGCAGAAGGGGCAACUGGAAUUCUCGGUGUAGCGGUGAAAUGCGUAGAUAUCGAGAGGAACACCUGCGGCGAAGGCGGGUUGCUGGGCUGACACUGACGCUGAAGCGCGAAAGCUAGGGGAGCGAACGGGAUUAGAUACCCCAGUAGUCC